rfam:Pneumocystis murina mitochondrion, complete genome.
GGAAAAAUCGUCAUCGGUAAGACACAAUACAUGCUAGGUAUUCGUUCCACCUUGGAACUAAGGGUUCAACUCCCUUUUUUUCCG